rnacentral:rRNA from 1 species
AUUGAACGCUGGCGGCAUGCCUUACACAUGCAAGUCGAACGGCAGCACGGGGCAACCUGGUGGCGAGUGGCGGACGGGUGAGUAAUGCAUCGGAACGUACCUUUCAGUGGGGGAUAACGUAGCGAAAGUUACGCUAAUACCGCAUAUUCUGUGAGCAGAAAAGCAGGGGAUCGCAAGACCUUGCGCUGAUUGAGCGGCCGAUGUCAGAUUAGCUAGUUGGUGAGGUAAAGGCUCACCAAGGCGACGAUCUGUAGCGGGUCUGAGAGGAUGAUCCGCCACACUGGAACUGAGACACGGUCCAGACUCCUACGGGAGGCAGCAGUGGGGAAUUUUGGACAAUGGGGGCAACCCUGAUCCAGCCAUGCCGCGUGAGUGAAGAAGGCCUUCGGGUUGUAAAGCUCUUUCGGCCGGGAAGAAAUCGCACGGGCUAAUACCCUGUGUGGAUGACGGUACCGGAAUAAGAAGCACCGGCUAACUACGUGCCAGCAGCCGCAGUAA